UACGUAGGGGGCAAGCGUUGUCCGGAUUUAUUGGGCGUAAAGAGCUCGUAGGCGGCUUGGCAAGUCGGGUGUGAAACCUCCAGGCUCAACCUGGAGACGCCACUCGAUACUGCCAUGGCUUGAGUCUGGUAGGGGAUCACGGAAUUCCUGGUGUAGCGGUGAAAUGCGCAGAUAUCAGGAGGAACACCGGUGGCGAAGGCGGUGAUCUGGGCCAGUACUGACGCUGAGGAGCGAAAGCGUGGGGAGCGAACAGG
rnacentral:rRNA from 1 species